UCCCAUCUCACUCCUAAAUGUGGAUUACAAAAUUUUUGCUGAUAUUUUGGCGAGCAGACUUAAAAAAAUACUUAACGAAGUAAUUCAUAAGGACCAGGCAGGCUUUCUCCCAGGGAGACAUCUUUUGAUAAUACCAGGAACAUUAUUGAUAUUUUGGAACUUUUACAAACUAAUAUCAAUACGAAAGCUGUGUUAAUUUUCAUCGACGCGGAGAAGGCCUUUGAUAAUAUUUCUUGGAUGUUUAUGAAGAGAAACCUGGAAGGGAUGGGAGUGGGACGGGGUUUGAAAAUGGAAUAGAAGCAAUUUAUUCUGAGCAAAAAGCUAAACUGAUAGUAAACAAUGUGGUGACAGAUGAGUUCAAAAUUGAAAAAGGGACACGACAAGGGUGCCCCCUAUCCCCCCUUUUAUUUAUUUCAGUCCUGGAGGUGUUACUGAACAUGAUUAGGAAGGACCGGUUGAUACAAGGAAUACAGGUCGGAGCGAAACAAUAUAAAUUGAAAGCUUUUGCAGAUGAUUUGGUUUUAACAUUACAGGAGCCAGAAUCUAGUACAAAAAGAGUAUUAGAAUUGAUUCAUGAGUUUGGUCGGGUGGCGGGAUUUAAGUUGAAUAAGCAAAAACUAAGGUUUUGGGGAAAAACUUGACACCCUCAGAAAUAGAUGGGUUUCAGAAGGAAACAGAACUAAGUGUGGUAAAAAAGUGAAAUACCUAGGGGUUCACUUGUCAGCGAAAAAUUUGAAUCUAUUUAAAGACAACUAUGAAAAAUGUUGGCUGGAAAUCAAAAAGAUUUGGAAAUCUGGUCAAGAUUGAAACUUUCCUUGUUGGGUCGAAUUGCUGCUAUAAAAAUGAAUGUAUUGCCGAAAAUGUUAUUUUUGUUUCAAACCCUACAGAUUGUGGACAGAGUGGAAUGUUUUGGAAAGUGGCAGAAGGAUAUAUCCAAGUUUGUUUGGCAGGGCAAAAAGCCCCGGAUAAAGUUUAAAAUACUAACUGACUUGAAAGAAAGAGGGGGGUUUGCCCUGCCGGACUUGAGAUUAUAUUAUGAAGCUGCGGCCUUCUGCUGGAUGAAAGAUUGGUUACUUCUUGAGAACACUGAUGUUCUAGAUCUGGAAGGGUUUGAUAAUGCUUUUGGUUGGCAUGCAUAUUUGUGGUACGACAAGGUAAAGGUUCAUAAAAUGUUCAAAAAUCAUAUUGUUAGAAAAUCAAUAUUUAUGGUCUGGACAAAAUACAAGGACUUAUUAGAGGGUAAGACUCCGAGGUGGCUUUCACCAGCAGAGGCCAAGGCCCGGAAAAACCUAAUAUGGAGGUUGGUUGGCUGAAAUAUGGGGAAAUUAUAGAAAAAGUAGGAGAAACUUGGAGGCUGCAGAGUUAUGAAAAAUUAAAGAAUAAGGUGCAAAAUUGGCUUCACUAUGCUCAAAUUCAAGAGGUUUUUAAGCUGGACAAAAGAACAGGUUUCCAGGUGGAAAAAUCGAAACUAGAGACAGAAUUGUUGGAACCAAAGACCAAGGUACUUUCGAGAAUGUAUAUCUUGCUGCUUAAAUGGAACACUCAGGAUGAGACAGUCAAAUCAGCCAUGAUAAAAUGGGCUCAGGACAUUGGGUACAACAUUAUGUUUGAAGACUGGGAAAGGUUAUGGACCACUGGUAUGAAAUUCACGGCAUGUAAUGCCUUGAAAGAGAAUAUUAUGAAAAUGAUAUACAGGUGGUACAUGACCCCAGUCAAGCUUGCUAAGAUAUAUCAUUUGUCUGAUAAUAAAUGUUGGAAAUGUAAGGAGGCUGAAGGGACAUUCUUUCACCUCUGGUGGACUUGCCCAAAAGUGAAGGCCUUCUGGGAAAUGAUCUAUAAUGAGUUAAAAAAGUGUUUAAGUACACUUUUCCCAAGAAACCAGAGGCCUUCCUACUGGGCAUUGUCGGUCAGAAGGUGUUAAAGAAGGAUAGAACCUUUUUAUGUAUGCAACUACAGCAGCAAGAAUUCUUAUCGCAAAAUACUGGAAGACUCAAGAUUUACCCACACUGGAAGAGUGGCAGACGCAAUUGAUGGGCUACAUGGAAUUGGCCGAGAUGACUGCCAGGAUCCGAGAUUUGGAGGAAGAAGCAAUGGAGGAGGAUUGGAAAAAAUUUAAAGAUUAUUUACAAAAAUUUUAUAAGUUAUAUGAAUGUUAAGAAUUCGCAUGAUUAGGGAAAUUCAGCUCCAGCAAUAAGAUUAAGGUAUGGGAAACUAAGCUAUAUUAAUGAAAGGACUAACGUUUAAAAGAACAUUAUAUAUAUUAUUAGUGUAAAUUGACAAUAAGCAUUUUAAACGCAAAUCACAAGUAUUUGAAAGAACAAAAGAAUGCACGAAAUAAGGUUAUAAUUUGCUGAAAAAUUUUAUUGUAAAGAACGCAAGGUGAGGGGGACGGGGAAGUCCGGUUGGUUAUGGAAAAAUGCUUUGAAAAGAUGAUUUUCUUCUUUUUCUUUCUCUUUUCUGUUAUUUCUUUGUAUAUCUGACCUUGUAUUUCUAUCUGGAAAAAUGCAAUAAAAAAUAUUAUAAAAAAAAAAAAAAA